rnacentral:tRNA from 1 species
GCUGGAGUAGCUCAGCAGGUAGAGCAGCUGACUUGUAAUCAGCAGGUCGGGGGUUCGAAUCCGUCCUCCAGCUCCA